rnacentral:rRNA from 1 species
UAGAGUUUGAUCCUGGCUCAGGACGAACGCUGGCGGCGUGCCUAAUACAUGCAAGUAGAACGCUGAAAGAGAGGAGCUUGCUCUUCUUGGAUGAGUUGCGAACGGGUGAGUAACGCGUAGGUAACCUGCCUUGUAGCGGGGGAUAACUAUUGGAAACGAUAGCUAAUACCGCAUAACAAUGGAUGACACAUGUCAUUUAUUUGAAAGGGGCAAUUGCUCCACUACAAGAUGGACCUGCGUUGUAUUAGCUAGUAGGUGAGGUAAUGGCUCACCUAGGCGACGAUACAUAGCCGACCUGAGAGGGUGAUCGGCCACACUGGGACUGAGACACGGCCCAGACUCCUACGGGAGGCAGCAGUAGGGAAUCUUCGGCAAUGGGGGCAACCCUGACCGAGCAACGCCGCGUGAGUGAAGAAGGUUUUCGGAUCGUAAAGCUCUGUUGUAAGUCAAGAACGGGUGUGAGAGUGGAAAGUUCACACUGUGACGGUAGCUUACCAGAAAGGGACGGCUAACUACGUGCCAGCAGCCGCGGUAAUACGUAGGUCCCGAGCGUUGUCCGGAUUUAUUGGGCGUAAAGCGAGCGCAGGCGGUUUGAUAAGUCUGAAGUUAAAGGCUGUGGCUCAACCAUAGUUCGCUUUGGAAACUGUCAAACUUGAGUGCAGAAGGGGAGAGUGGAAUUCCAUGUGUAGCGGUGAAAUGCGUAGAUAUAUGGAGGAACCACCGGUGGCGAAACGCGGCUUCUCUGGUCUGUAANCUGACCGCUGANGCUCGAAAGCGUGGGGAGCGAACAGGAUUAGAUACCCUGGUAGUCCACGCCGUAAACGAUGAGUGCUAGGUGUUGGAUCCUUUCCGGGAUUCAGUGCCGAAGCUAACGCAUUAAGCACUCCGCCUGGGGGAGUACGACCGCAAGGUUGAAACUCAAAGGAAUUGACGGGGGCCCGCACAAGCGGUGGAGCAUGUGGUUUANUUCGAAGCACNCNAAAAACCUUACCAGGUCUUGACAUCCCGAUGCUAU